CCCUCACACUGUUCAUUUCCGUUCCUCCCGGCCAAGCCCACGUGGGAAUCACAGCCAAAGGGAAGAGAAACUGUUCUUCAACAGGCGCAAGAAAGACCCGCUCAGGCUGGAGCGACAGCUUGACUGAAAGAGAGAUUCAGAGCCUCAGGCAUAUUGUGCGGGAUCCCUGGCUCAUCUGAACCUGGAAUCAACCAAGAGUCUCCACCCCCGUGAGUGAAUAUGUGCGCCUUUUGUCUCAGCACGUGGGUCAUCUUGUGCAGCCAACAGCCCUGGACCGUUCCUGCCAGCGUCAAGGUUGCCAUGUCCCCAGUCACCAUUCAGGGUCCCAUGGGGGGACGGCGGCAGGGGACGUGGGCAGGGGGACACUUCUGAGACUGCGUCUGGUGCUAAGGUCAGGAGAGCAGGAGGCUGGCUUGAGAGGGGAACUCAAGCUCUUGAGCUGUGACCAAGGGAAGGCAGCAGUGUGUGCAGGGACCAGGGGCAGAGGCCAGCGCAUGCAAAGGCCUGGGGGCAGAGAAGAGCUUGGGGAGGACUCUCUGAUCGGGUCUGGGUGGCAUGAGGGCCUACGGGGGACACCACCGCUAAGACAUCGCCCAAAAUGGCCAGUUCUCUCUGCUGCUGCUGUAGCCUCGUCUCAUCCCCCUGGGCCUCAUCCCCCUGGGCCUCAUCCCCCUGGCCUCAUCCCCCUGGGCCUCAUCCCCCUGGGCCUCAUCCCCCUGGCCUCCCCAGCACUUCUUACAGGACAGCCAGGAGCCCGUCAGAUCGUGACUCCCGCCGGCGCAAAUCCCCGCCAGGGCUCCCGUGUGCUUUGUGGGCUGCCCACACUCUCCAGGCCUGUGGCCACAGCCAGUCUCCACAGAUUCCUCUGCAGCCCCCGCUAGGCCAUGCUGGCCGCCCACAGAUGUGUCCUGAUGCCCCGGGACCAGGGCCUCUGCCAGGUGGCAUCCUCUCCCCUCCUCUCUGCCAGUCACGGUCAUGCUUCAGAGCGUCACCGAGGACCCUUCCCAGGGCAGCACCCCCGACCCUGUGGACCAGGCCGGAGCACUCAGCACCACACACCGGUUCUUCCCAUGACGCGUCCCAGGCACAGUCUUCCAUCUGGUCCUAUGACUGUUUGAAGCACAUCCGUCUCCACACCCCCGAGGCCAGGGGCCUCUCAAGGGAAGAGUCGCCUUUCCUCGUGAUGUCCGUGGAAUUUCUAGGGCCUGACGUAGCAGUGGCUGUGUGAAACCCACAGCAAAGAGUGAGAGGAGAAAGGAGCUGCCUGAAGUAACGUGGGGACAAGGGGCGUGCGUGAGACUAAAGGCAGAGGGGCUGAGCUCUGUGCUCCGGGGAAUAAACUGUCCCCACGGGGCACUGGCCUGGAGCUCCAAUCCUACUGCACCUGCAGACCCGGCUGGACAAUCAUUGAGUUGUAUCAACAAAAACAAAUCAGAAAAGAACUGGCAUCGUUCUAAGAGAAAGAAGAGCAAGAUUUGGGGACAGACAGAGACACAGAGGAGAGGCCACGUGAUGAUGGAAGCAGACAGCGAUGGAGCUGCCAACAUUGCACGGCCCCAGAAGCCGGAGGAUGCAGGAAGGACCCUUCCCCGAGGCCUUAGGGGUGGUGUGGCCCUGCCCGCAACUUUUGGACUUUUAGCCUCCAGGACUGUAAGAGAAUCUACUCCUGUUGCUUUAAGCCACCUGUCUGUGGUGAUUUGUUGCGGCAGCCCUUCGAGACGCAUGCCAUGUUCUACCAUUUCAUUCCUCAUUUCACACUCGGAGGAAUCAGAAAAGGGGACACAACGAUAUUCCUCAUUCAUGGCUGAAGUGCCUGCAGCUCAGAGAGGUUAAGACAUGUGCCCAAGAGUGCUCAGCUCACUUCCUCAUCCCACUGGCCUGGGGCAGCAGUGUCUGGUCUAAAUUCACUAUCAGGGAGGUCAUGGCACUGUGGCCAGGCAAGGCAGGGCUAAGACCCAGCAUGCAGGGUGCAGACCCAGCUCAGCCGAUGGCUCAACCAGUCUGGGUCGCUGUAACAAAAUACUGUAUGCUGGGGGCUCAGGCGUC